CACCCAGAGACACAAUCCACAGCCCCUGGGUCUGUGCAGUGACCAGCCAGUCCCCUGAGAACUUUCCCCUCCAGCACCAGGGAAAAUGGGAUUUUUGCUCCUUGUAAUUUUCGCUGUAGCAGCUUUGGAAGGUGUCCGGUCCCAGGCGCUGGUGGAGUCCGGAGGGGAUGUGAAAAAGCCCGGAGACUCUCUCCGCCUCUCCUGCAAAGCCUCCGGCUUCACCUUCAGCAGCUACAGUAUGAUCUGGGCUCGUCAGGCUCCUGGGAAGGGGCUGGAAUGGGUCGCUUAUCUCAACAGCGCUGGGGGCGAUAUACGCUACCUUGAUUCAGUGAAAGGCCAAUUCACCAUCUCCAGGGACAAUUCCAAGAGUGAGCUGUAUCUGCAAAUGACCGGCCUGAAGCCCGAGGAC